AAACUUGGCAGCUGCGGACUCUGUGCUGUGGCAGCCUAAGCAGACCCUCGUCACCAGCUAAUGACAAGUGCAGGCCUUGCUGGGCUGUGUCCUAAGGUGAAUCAACGUGAAAAAAAGCCCUGACUGCUCAUGCACUGAUAUCUUUAUCUUUUCAGAUGCCUGGGAACCACCACCAUCACAUCUGGAAAAAAGUGACUUCACACUACAGCAGAGGAAAACCAUGGGUUGGCCAAAAACGGAACAGAAUUUAUAAGGGAAAAGGAAGGUUCUGGAGUAAUAUGGUUAGAUGAGAAUGGAGCUGGUGAAUGAGCAGAAGAGAAGGUUGGAAGAGUACAGUGGUGAUGACAGCCCUCUGCUCCUCUUUCUCCAGCAGAAAAAGCCCCAAGUUUAUUCACCCCUCUUGUACUAUAAGGCAGAGGGAAAAAUAAUGACAAACACACAGUAAACUUUGUUAUCAACAAACAGAAGUCGUUGCCAAGGAAACAGAACAAGAGCAUCCCUGCAUCCAGCCAUCACAGUGUGAAGUGAGUUUCAGAUGAGGAGAUGCCUUGAGGGGCAAGGAGACCCUUCAGGAAAAGGCUAACCUGAUAAAGGAACCAAUGAGUUGCCAUUCCAACUGAUGUCUUUUUUCCCUUUCUCAAUAAAGAGAAGAGCUUGCAAGAGCCCUUAAAGACA